rnacentral:rRNA from 1 species
UACGUAGGGGGCAAGCGUUGUCCGGAAUCAUUGGGCGUAAAGAGCGUGUAGGCGGCUUGGUAAGUCCGCUGUGAAAGUCCAGGGCUCAACCCUGGAAUGCCGGUGGAUACUGUCGAGCUAGAGUCCGGAAGGGGCGAGUGGAAUUCCUGGUGUAGCGGUGAAAUGCGCAGAUAUCAGGAGGAACACCAAUGGCGAAGGCAGCUCGCUGGGACGUGACUGACGCUGAGACGCGAAAGCGUGGGGAGCAAACAGG